UACGAAGGGGGCUAGCGUUGCUCGGAAUGACUGGGCGUAAAGGGCGCGUAGGCGGUUCGUACAGUCAGACGUGAAAUUCCCGGGCUCAACCUGGGGGCUGCGUUUGAUACGUGCGGGCUUGAGUUCGGAAGAGGGUCGUGGAAUUCCCGGUGUAGAGGUGAAAUUCGUAGAUAUCGGGAGGAACACCGGUGGCGAAGGCGGCGAUCUGGGUAGAUACUGACGCUGAGGUGCGAAAGCGUGGGGAGCAAACAGG
rnacentral:rRNA from 1 species